rnacentral:snRNA from 1 species
AGCUUUGCGCAGUGGCAGUAUCAUAGCCAAUGAGGUUUAUCUGAGGCGCAAUUAUUGCUAAUUGAAAGCUGACGGGGCUGGGGAUUUAGCUCAGUGGCACAGCGCCUGCCUGGCAAGCAUGAGGUCGUCAGUUCGA